rnacentral:rRNA from 1 species
UACGGGGGGAGCAAGCGUUUGUUCGGAUUUACUAGGCGUAAAGGGCGCGUAGGCGGCCAGCACAAGUCAGUUGUGAAAUCUCCGGGCUUAACUCGGAAAGGUCAACUGAUACUGUGCGGCUAGAGUGCAGAAGGGGCAACUGGAAUUCUCGGUGUAGCGGUGAAAUGCGUAGAUAUCGAGAGGAACACCUGCGGCGAAGGCGGCAUCCUGGACCGGCAUUGACGCUGAUGAGCGAAAGCUAGGGGAGCAAACGGG